UCACUUUGGCAGCACAUAUACUAAAACUGGAAUGACACUGGGAAGAUUAGCAUCACCCCUGCCCGAGGAUGACACACAAAUUCAAGAAGUGUUCCACAUUUUU